GGUAAUGGCCUACCAAGGCGACGAUCCGUAGCUGGUCUGAGAGGACGAUCAGCCACACUGGGACUGAGACACGGCCCAGACUCCUACGGGAGGCAGCAGUGGGGAAUAUUGGACAAUGGGGGAAACCCUGAUCCAGCAAUGCCGCGUGUGUGAAGAAGGCCUUCGGGUUGUAAAGCACUUUCAGUGGGGAAGAAAUUCUCAAGGCUAAUACCCUUUUGAGCGUUGACGUUACCCACAGAAGAAGCACUGGCUAACUCUGUGCCAGCAGCCGCGGUAAUACAGAGAGUGCAAGCGUUAAUCGGAAUCACUGGGCGUAAAGCGCGCGUAGGUGGAUAUUUAAGUCGGAUGUGAAAGCCCUAGGCUUAACCUGGGAAUUACAUCCGAUACUAGGUAUCUCGAGUAUGAUAGAGGGAAGUGGAAUUUCCGGUGUAGCGGUGAAAUGCGUAGAUAUCGGAAAGAACAUCAGUGGCGAAGGCGGCUUCCUGGAGCAAUACUGACACUGAGGCGCGAAAGCGUGGGGAGCAAACAGGAUUAGAGACCCUGGUAGUCCACGCCGUCAACGAUGAGAACUAGCUGUUGGAAAGUUUACUUUCUAGUAGCAAAGCUAACGCGUUAAGUUCUCCGCCUGGGGAGUACGGCCGCAAGGUUAAAACUCAAAGAAAUUGACGGGGGCCCGCACAAGCGGUGGAGCAUGUGGUUUAAUUCGAUGCAACACGAAAAACCUUACCUACCCUUGACAUCCUCGGAACUUGUCAGAAAUGACUUGGUGCCUUUGGGAACCGAGUGACAGGUGCUGCAUGGCUGUCGUCAGCUCGUGUCGUGAGAUGUUGGGUUAAGUCCCGUAACGAGCGCAACCCUCGUCCUUAGUUGCCAGCGGUUCGGCCGGGAACUCUAAGGAGACUGCCGGUGAUAAACCGGAGGAAGGUGAGGAUGAUGUCAAGUCAUCAUGGCCCUUACGGGUAGGGCUACACACGUGCUACAAUGGGCAGUACAAAGGGUUGCCAAACCGUGAGGUAAAGCUAAUCCCAAAAAGCUGCUCGUAGUCCGGAUUGGAGUCUGCAACUCGACUCCAUGAAGUUGGAAUCGCUAGUAAUCGCGAAUCAGAAUGUCGCGGUGAAUACGUUCUCGGGCCUUGUACA
rnacentral:rRNA from 1 species